AUGCAUGUCUAAGUAUAAGCACUUGUACUGUGAAACUGCGAAUGGCUCAUUAAAUCAGUUAUCGUUUAUUUGAUUGUACCAUUACUACUUGGAUAACCGUAGUAAUUCUAGAGCUAAUACAUGCGAAAAGUCCCGACUUUACGGAAGGGAUGUAUUUAUUAGAUUAAAAACCGAUCCGGUUUCGGCCGGCUGUGGGGUGAUUCAUAGUAACUUGUCGAAUCGUAUGGCCUUGCGCUGACGAUGUUUCAUUCAAAUUUCUGCCCUAUCAACUGUCGAUGGUAAGGUAGUGGCUUACCAUGGUUACAACGGGUGACGGAGAAUUAGGGUUCGAUUCCGGAGAGGGAGCCUGAGAAACGGCUACCACAUCCC
rnacentral:rRNA from 1 species